AAGCGGUGGAGCAUGUGGUUAAUUCGAUGCAACGCGAAGAACCUUACCUGGGCCUUGACAUCCCGGGAAUCCCUUGGAAACAAGGGAGUGCCCUUCGGGGAACCUGGAGACAGGUGCUGCAUGGCUGUCGUCAGCUCGUGUCGUGAGAUGUAGGGUUAAGUCCCGUAACGAGCGCAACCCUUGUCUUUAAUUGCCAUCAUUGAGUUGGGCACUUUAAAGAGACUGCCGGUGUUAAACCGGAGGAAGGUGGGGAUGACGUCAAGUCCUCAUGGCCUUUAUGCCCAGGGCUACACACGUGCUACAAUGGGUGGUACAAAGGGAGGCGAAGGGGUGACCUGGAGCGAAACCCAAAAAUACAGUCUCAGUUCGGAUUGAAGUCUGCAACUCGACUUCAUGAAGUCGGAAUCGCUAGUAAUCGCGGAUCAGAACGCCACGGUGAAUACGUUCUCGGGGUUU
rnacentral:rRNA from 1 species